rnacentral:rRNA from 1 species
GACGAACCGUGCGAACGUUGUUCGGAAUCACUGGGCUUAAAGGGCGCGUAGGCGGGUCUCCAAGUCAGGGGUGAAAUCCUCCGGCCCAACCGGAGAAGUGCUUUUGAUACUGGGGACCUCGAGGGGUGCAGGGCAUGUGGAACUUCCGGUGGAGCGGUGAAAUGCGUAGAUAUCGGAAGGAACGCCGGUGGCGAAAGCGACGUGCUGGACACCUUCUGACGCUGAGGCGCGAAAGCCAGGGGAGCAAACGGG